AUGGAUCUAUGCGUUGUGAUUCUCCUAUUCUGCGUCUUCCACUUGAUCCAUGGCCAGCCUGAUGACCUAGGUUUCAUAAGCAUCGAUUGUGGCAUCCCGGUGAACUCCUCCUACCAAGAUCCCAGCUCAAAGAUAAUAUAUGUCUCAGACUAUGGAUACGUCACCUCAGGAGAAAACCGCAACAUCUCCUCAGUUUACAUCAGGCCUUCACUGGCAAAGCGCAACCUCAAUGUCCGGUUCUUUCAGCAUGGAGCACGCAAUUGCUACGCCCUGAGGUCCUUGGUGGCAGGAAACAAGUACUUCGUCCGUGCGCUUUUUUACUACGGAAACUAUGAUGGCCUUGACAAACUUCCUGUCUUUGAUCUGUACAUGGGGGCAAACUACUGGCAUGAAGUUAAUAUCAGUGCUGCAGGAGCAGUCAAAUGGAUGGACAUCAUAGUUGUCGCUCCUGCUGACUACCUGCAUGUUUGUCUGGUGAACAAAGGGAUGGGAACUCCAUUUAUUUCUGGGCUGGAUCUGAGGCCACUGAGGAUUACUCUUUACCCAGAGGUAAAUGCAAGUCAAUCUCUGGUGCUGAUUAGCUCCAAUCGGUUCAAUUUGGGGCCCACAGACAAUCGCAUAAUCAGGUACCCCUUGGAUCCCCAUGACCGCCUAUGGUCGACUUACGACACAAUCCCAAACUGGAAUGAAAUAUCUGCAACAUCUGUCGUCCAGAAUUACGUCACUGAUGUGUAUGACGUGCCAUCAGCUGUUAUGCAAAAUGCAGCAUCUGUCAACGGCUCAAGGAUUGAUUUCUCAUGGGGUCCAGUGGAUCCAUCGGAGAACAUCAGCUCCAGUUACUUCUUUGUUUUCUACUUCUCUGAGCUGCAGAAUGUACAGAGCAAUGCUGUGCGGCAGUUUGACAUCAUUGUCAAUAACAAGACAUGGAACACGCAACCUUAUACCCCUCGAUUCCUAUUCGCCGAUUCUUUCUCAGGAAUUGUACAAGGGUUGGCGAGUUAUAGUGUCUCACUUGUUGCUACAGAAAAUGCAACUCUUCCACCUAUCCUCAAUGCCAUGGAGAUGUACUUGGUGGAACCGAUAACUGAGAUCGCUACUGAUAGUGGAGAUGCUAGAGCCAUGAUGUCAAUCCAGGAGAAUUUUGGCGUGGAGAAAAACUGGAUGGGUGAUCCAUGUGCUCCAAAAGCUUUUGCAUGGAUAGGAUUAACCUGCUCCUAUCCUCCAGCUCAUGCCGCUAGAAUAACAGCAUUAAACGUGUCUUCCUUUGGGUUGGCUGGUACCAUCUCUACUGAUUUUGGAGAUCUGAAUGCACUUCAGUACCUGGAUCUGUCAAACAACAACUUGUCUGGCACCAUUCCAAAUUUUCUUGGGCGGCUUCCGUUUCUAAUAUUUCUGGAUCUGUCCAGCAAUGAUCUACAUGGAACAAUCCCUGACAAUCUUCUUCAAAAAUCCCAAAAUGGAACUCUGUCGUUAAGGGUUGGUAAUAAUGCAAAUAUAUGUGCCAAUGGUACUGCCUGUGGAUCAAGUCGAAAGAAAAUUAAUGGGGCACUUCUUGCUGCUAUAGUUAUUCCGAUCGUUGCUGUCAUUGCAAUAUUUGUUGUCUUAUUUCUUCUGCUACGCCAAAAGCUCAAGGGAAAAGAUAAGAGAAAAACUACUGGUCCUGAAGAUGAAUCUGCAUUACUUGAGAACCGAGAAUUUUCCUACAGAGAACUGAAGUAUAUUACAAGCAACUUUAGCCAAGAGAUUGGCAAGGGCGGCUUUGGAGCUGUCUUCCUUGGCUACCUGAAGAACGGAAACUCAGUUGCUGUGAAAGUGCGUUCUGAUUCAUCUUCACAAGGGGGUAAAGAGUUUCUGGCUGAGGCUCAACACUUGACAAGGAUUCAUCACAAGAACUUGGUUUCCUUGAUUGGCUACUGCAAGGACAAAAAUCAUCUAGCCCUUGUUUACGAGUACAUGCCCAAAGGGAACCUGCAGGAUCAUCUGAGAGGUUCUACUAGUAAACCACUCACUUGGGAGCAGCGUCUUCACAUCGCCCUUGAUGCUGCACAAGGUCUGGAGUAUCUGCACAUCGCGUGUAAACCAGCAUUGAUCCACAGAGAUGUGAAGAGUACCAACAUCCUGCUGACCACAGAUCUUGGGGCUAAGAUUGCUGAUUUUGGCCUGACCAAGGCUUUCAGCGACUCGAAAACACAUAUAACCACUGAACCAGCUGGUACUAUGGGCUACUUAGAUCCAGAGUACUUCCGCAGUUAUCACAUCAGCGAGAAGAGCGACGUGUACAGCUUUGGCGUCGUACUCCUAGAGCUCAUCACAGGCCGUCCUCCUGUCAUCCCGGUCAGCGACAGCGUGAAUGUCCACGUCGGCGAGUGGGUGCAGCAGAGCCUCGACCACGGCACCAUGGAGAGCAUUGUGGAUGCAAGAAUGGUAGGGGACUAUGACAUCAACUCUGUCUGGAAAGCUGCUGACCUUGCGCUGCAUUGCAAGCGAGAGGUCUCAAGGGAGCGUCCGACGAUGGCGGAGGUGGUGGCGCAGCUUAAGGAGUGCUUGGAGCUCGAGAACCGUCUCGACGGGAGGCAAAGAAGCUUGGGUUCAAACUUUCCUAGGGAGAGAGGUGCACUUGAGGCAGAAGAAGAAGAACAAGGUGAGGACAUACAAGCUGUUGCUGCUGGUCCUGCAAUGAGAUAG
rnacentral:rRNA from 1 species